AUUGAACGCUGGCGGCAGGCCUAACACAUGCAAGUCGAACGAGCGGCGGACGGGUGAGUAAUGUCUGGGAAACUGCCUGAUGGAGGGGGAUAACUACUGGAAACGGUAGCUAAUACCGCAUACCAUCGGAUGUGCCCAGAUGGGAUUAGAUAGUAGGUGGGGUAACGGCUCACCUAGGCGACGAUCCCUAGCUGGUCUGAGAGGAUGACCGGCGACACGGUAACUGAGACACGGUCCAGACUCCUACGGGAGGCAGCAGUGGGGAAUAUGGCACAAUGGGAGCAAGCCAGAUGCAGCCAUGCCGCGUGUAUGAAGAGGGCCUUCGGGUAGUAAAGUACUUUCAGCGGGGAGGCGUUACCCGCAGAAGAAGCACCGGCUAACUCCGUGCCAGCAGCCGCGGUAAUUC
rnacentral:rRNA from 1 species